UAACGCGAGAGAGGUUCGGAAAGAGCACGUAGGCCACGCCCUUGUCGCUCAGGCUCUCGGGAAAACGUCACCGGGAUUAUAAAAGCGCGCGCGCCGCACGUUGCAGCCUCUUUCGCUGCGGUCAGCGUGCUUUAACUUCGUGCGUAUCUAGUGUCCGUGCCGAGGUGACUGUUGGGCCCUCAUUUGUGAGCGGCUAAGAUGCGGGCGGCACGAGGCCGUUGCGGUGCAGGCCGCCGGCCGUCAGCAGCACAGGAGCCUGGUGAGGGCUAGCACGCGCCACAGCCAUGUGAAGCCGACCCCGUGUUGAGCGGAGACACCCGAGGACCUCCACUGUCACGGAUGGUAACACCGGAAUUCAUUGCUGUUUGGUGAUGGAAAACGUGCAGGUAUUGUUAAAGGGAAGUAGUAGUGGCUGAGAUAUUCGGGAAUCUUACAGGGAUCUUCACAUUUAAAUCUUGGUAAUGGGCAUUUGUGAAUGUUAAUAAUAUAGCACUGUAUUCGGUGGCGGGCCUUUAUUUCAUGUGAAUUUUUUCAUAGACAAAUAAAAUUGGUUAGUAAUAAGAUCGUGUUGUGUUUAUUUCUGGAGACUGUAUGAGUAAGAGUUCUUACACAGGUGACAUUUGCAGAGGAAAUGUCUGGGAUAACCAGGAUACCUGAGAGGAGAGGGUGGUCUCAUUACUGUAUAUUAUGCAGAGGUGCACUGAAGACUUGUGUGUUGGGUUUGUGCAAACUACAAGUUAGGCGCUUGUCACAUUUUCAGAGUAGUUUCACAGGCAACCAACGGACAGUUGCC